GUGCCUAAUACAUGCAAAGUCGAGCGAGCUUGCCUAUUUGAAAUUACUUCGGAAUGGACAUAGAUACAAGCUAGCGGCGGAUGGGGUGAGUAACGCGUGGGUAACCCUGCCCUUAAGUCUGGGAUACCAUUUGGAAACAGAUGCUAAUACCGGAUAAAAAGCUACUUUCGCAUGAAAGAAAGUUUAAAAAGGCGGCGUAAGCUGUCGCUAUGGGAUGGCCCCGCGGUGCAUUAGCUAGUUGGUAAGGUAAAGGCUUACCAAGGCGAUGAUGCAUAGCCGAGUUGAGAGACUGAUCGGCCACAUUGGGACUGAGACACGGCCCAAACUCCUACGGGAGGCAGCAGUAGGGAAUCUUCCACAAUGGACGCAAGUCUGAUGGAGCAACGCCGCGUGAGUGAAGAAGGUUUUCGGAUCGUAAAGCUCUGUUGUUGGUGAAGAAGGAUAGAGGUAGUAACUGGCCUUUAUUUGACGGUAAUCAACCAGAAAGUCACGGGCUAACUACGUGCCAGCAGCCGCGGUAAAU
rnacentral:rRNA from 1 species